GAAUGGGCCCGUCAAAUUGAUGACAAAUGGCAAACUGUCAAUUUAGAGUCCUGUACUAUCCGAGAACAACUAGGGUUUAUCUGUGAAGGUAAUGCAAUUAUAGCUCAAGAUAUCUGUUUAGACACAGAACAAAAUAUCUGUCAUUUUGACAUUCAUCCUAACGAGACUUCUGAAACAGUCCUUGUACAUACAGGCAAUGGGUGUGCCUGCUUUGGAACCACUUGUGAUACUGUGUUUAUAGAAAGUACAGUAGUAGAUACUAAAAAUCAUUCAAAUUUUUGUGCUUGCAACUUUACUAAAAUUGCAGGAUGUGAUUUUUCUUUUGUAGCUCCAGUUACCUUACAUGAACUUUUAGAAUCCAAUCUCACGUUGAUUCACAAGCUAUUGCCUACUCCCAUUGGGAUGAACCUUACUUUGACUCCACGACGACACCAUGGAACCCUGCUGAUGAAGAUCUUUCGAGGGCAAUCGUCAGUCACGGGGUGGUGUAAGAGCCCGUCUGAAGCCCCUCAUUUUCCAUUCUGCCUUCCGAUUGCCACGAGAAAGAAUCCCUUCCCCCACUGCAGUUCCGGCUUAGAACAGGACACAGCGCAGGUGCAACCACUGAACCGUCAGGCUGGCUGUUCCGAACAAGGCCUGGCAAGAACUUGGCAAGGAGUUGGCAAGGACUUGGCAAAGACCUGACAUGGACCCAGCUCGGGACAGCCUGAUGCGCGGCCUGCUUCUAAUCUCUGAUCUUAAGCCACUGAAGGCUGGCAGUGAAAUGUCACUGUAGGAUCUUGCUGCA